rnacentral:rRNA from 1 species
CAGGAUGUUGGCUUAGAAGCAGCCAUCAUUUAAAGAAAGCGUAAUAGCUCACUGAUCGAGUCGUCCUGCGCGGAAGAUGUAACGGGGCUAAGCCAGUUACCGAAGCUGCGGAUUUGCACGCAAGUGCAAGUGGUAGGAGAGCGUUCUGUACGCCUGUGAAGGUGGAUCGUGAGGUCUGCUGGAGGUAUCAGAAGUGCGAAUGCUGACAUGAGUAGCGUUAAAGGGGGUGAAAAGCCCCCUCGCCGAAAGCGCAAGGUUUCCUACGCAACGUUCAUCGGCGUAGGGUGAGUCGGCCCCUAAGGCGAGGCAGAGAUGCGUAGCUGAUGGGAAACAGGUCAAUAUUCCUGUACCGAUGUGUAGUGCGAUGUGGGGACGGAGAAGGUUAACUCGGCCGGGUGUUGGAUGUCCCGGUUCAAGCAUGUAGGCGUGCCCUCUAGGCAAAUCCGGAGGGCUUAGCUGAGGUGUGAUAACGAGGCGGCUUGCCGCUGAAGUGAGUGAUACCCUGCUUCCAGGAAAAGCCACUAAGCUCCAGCUACACACGACCGUACCGCAAACCGACACUGGUGCGCGAGAUGAGUAUUCUAAGGCGCUUGAGAGAACUCUGGAGAAGGAACUCGGCAAAUUGACACCGUAACUUCGGAAGAAGGUGUGCCUUUAGUAGGUGAAGUCGUACAGAUGGAGCCCAAUGAGGCCGCAGAGAAUCGGUGGCUGCGACUGUUUAUUAAAAACACAGCACUCUGCAAAGACGAAAGUCGACGUAUAGGGUGUGACGCCUGCCCGGUGCUGGAAGAUUAAAUGAUGGGGUGCAAGCUCUUGACUGAAGUCCCAGUAAACGGCGGCCGUAACAAUAACGGUCCUAAGGUAGCGAAAUUCCUUGUCGGGUAAGUUCCGACCCGCACGAAUGGCGUAACGAUGGCCACACUGUCUCCUCUCGGGACUCAGCGAAGUUGAAAUGUUUGUGAUGAUGCAAUCUCCCCGCGGAAAGACGGAAAGACCCCAUGAACCUUUACUGCAGCUUUACAUUGGACUUUGACAAGAUUUGUGUAGGAUAGGUGGGAGACUAUGAAGCGGUGUCGCUAGAUAUCGUGGAGUCAUCCUUGAAAUACCACCCUGAUGUUGUUGAGGUUCUAACCUAGGUCCGUAAUCCGGACUGGGGACCGUGUAUGGUA